rnacentral:rRNA from 1 species
UACGUAGGGAGCAAGCGUUGUCCGGAAUCAUUGGGCGUAAAGCGCGCGUAGGUGGCUUCGUAAGUCCGUUGUGAAAGUCAAAGGCUCAACCUUUGAAAGCCGGAUGGAUACUGCGGAGCUAGAGUACGGAAGAGGCGAGUGGAAUUCCUGGUGUAGCGGUGGAAUGCGCAGAUAUAGGAGGAACACCAAUAGCGAAGGCAGCUCGCUGGGACGUUACUGACACUGAGGCGCGAAAGCGUGGGGAGCGAACAGG